rnacentral:rRNA from 1 species
AGAGUUUGAUUCUGGCUCAGGAUGAACGCUGGCGGCGUGGAUAAGGCAUGCAAGUCAAGGGGGUUUUGGGAGCAAUUUCAAAACAACCGGCGAACGAGUUAGUAACACCUUGGUACAUAACCUAAAGUCGGGCACAACCCCGCGAAAGCGGAGCUAAUUCCCGAUGUUGAAGCAAUUCCAAAGGAGCAAUCCGCUUUGGGAGUGGCCUAGGUCCUAUCAGCUUGUUGGCGGGGUAAAAGCCCACCAAGGCUAUGACGGGUAGGGGGCGUGAGAGCGCGUUCCUCAACGACGACACUGAGAUACGGGUCGUACACCUACGGGUGGCAGCAGUCAAGAACAUUCGACAAUGGGCGAAAGCCUGAUCGAGCGACGCCGCGUGCAGGAAGAAGUCCUUCGGGAUGUAAACUGCUUUUGCGUAGGAAAAAUUUUGAUUGUACUACAAGAAUAAGGGGUUGCUAACCUCGUGCCAGCAGCAGCGGUAAUACGAGGACCCCGAGCGUUAUCCGGAAUUACUGGGCAUAAAGAGCGAGUAGCCGGUUUUGUUAGUCUGAUGUUAAAUUCCGAGGCUUAACUUCGGAGCCGCAUCGGAAACGGCAAGAGUCCAGCUCAAAGUUAUUUUCUAAGACGAAAUUGAAAUAUUUGAGACGAAAUAAAGAAAAAAUUUUAAGGCAUAGCCUUGGGCGCUAUACUGAAAAAUUUUUCCAAAGUUGCAAUCCAAAUAUUUUAAUUGCAGUCAGAAAGAUAAUUUCGAGUUGGACUCCUUGAACUAGAGCAGGUAAGAGGUAAGCGGAACGUGCGGUGUAGGGGUGAAAUCCAUUGAUAUCGCACGGAACACCAAAAGCGAAGGCAGCUUACUGGUGCUUUGCUGACGGUCAAUCGCGAAAGCGUGGGCAUAAAAAAGGAUUAGAUACCCUUGUAUUCCACGCCCUAAACUAUGCUGACUAGCUAUUGGGAGCAUCGACCCUUCCAGUGGCGUAGCUAAUGCGUUAAGUCAGCCGCCUGGGAAGUACGAGCGCAAGCUUAAAACUUAAAGAAAUAGGCGGGAAUUCGCACAAGCGGUGGAUCAUGUGGUUUAAUUCGACACUGAGCGAAGAACCUCACCAAGGCUUGAAAUCCUAGUGUAAGCUCCGGGAAACCGGGGCCCCCGCAAGGCUCUAGGACAGGUGCUGCACGGCUGAACUAUCGGCCGGUAGGGGAGCAAUUCCCUACAAAAAUAACCAGCUCAUAACGGUGGAGUCCGAAAUAUAUUAAUGUUAAAAUUAAUAUAUGGAUAAUACCGUGGGAAGCCCGAAUACAAGUUUUUGUAACUUUCCGAAAUCAACUCAAGAUUAUUAUAUUCUUGGCCUUUGGUGCGCUGAUGGCUACCACUGGACAAGCAGUAUAGGAUUGAGCAAUAUUGAUUUAAUUUUAAUUAAGAAAUUUAGAAAUUUUCUUUCAGGAUUAUUUCCUAAAGAAAGAAUUAAAUUGGAUCAAUACAGAACAGGAAAGAGAAAAUAUGUUGGAUAUAAGAUUUAUGUAAAUUGCAGGCCGUUAUUAAGAAUUUUUAAAAAAUUCAAAGACAAUAAUAACGAGAGGAGUAUAAAUAAUGCCGAAGCAAUAAAAGCUUAUAUCGCAGGAAGA